UACGAAGGGGGCUAGCGUUGUUCGGAUUAACUGGGCGUAAAGCGCGCGUAGGCGGGUUUUUAAGUCAGGGGUGAAAUCCCAAGGCUCAACCUUGGAACUGCCUUUGAUACUGGAAAUCUUGAGUCCGGGAGAGGUGAGUGGAACUGCGAGUGUAGAGGUGAAAUUCGUAGAUAUUCGCAAGAACACCAGUGGCGAAGGCGGCUCACUGGCCCGGUACUGACGCUGAGGAGCGAAAGCGUGGGGAGCGAACAGG
rnacentral:rRNA from 1 species